GCCUAUGGUGAUACCACCCUGAACACACCCAUUUCAUCUGAUCUCAGAAGCUAAGCAGAGUAGACUCUGGUUAGUACUUGGAUCAGAGAAAAAAAUGCC
rnacentral:rRNA from 1 species